rnacentral:rRNA from 1 species
CCAAUUUUCUGCCACCGAAUACAUUAGCAUGGGAUAAUGGAAUAGGACCCUGUCCUCCUAUUUUCAGUUGGUUUUGGCAGCGCGAGGACUAGGGUAAUGAUUAAUAGGGAUAGUUGGGGGCAUUAAUAUUUAAUUGUCAGAGGUGAAAUUCUUGGAUUUAUGAAAGAUUAACUUCUGCGAAAGCAUCUGCCAAGGAUGUUUUCAUUAAUCAAGAACGAAAGUUAGGGGAUCGAAGACGAUCAGAUACCGUCGUAGUCUUAACCAUAAACGAUGCCGACCAGCGAUUAGGAGACGUUGAAUACAAAACACCACCAUCGGUGCGGUCGUCCUUGGCGUCGGUCUUUCGGGGCCGGCGCGGGGACGGCUUAGCCCGGUGGCACCGGUGAAUGACUCC